UACGGAGGGUGCAAGCGUUGUUCGGAAUUACUGGGCGUAAAGCGCGUGCAGGCGGUUCGGUAAGUCAGAUGUGAAAGCCCUGGGCUCAACCCAGGAAGUGCAUUUGAAACUGCCGUGCUAGAGUAUGGGAGAGGAGAGUGGAAUUCCCAGUGUAGAGGUGAAAUUCGUAGAGAUUGGGAGGAACACCCGUGGCGAAGGCGACUCUCUGGACCAAUACUGACGAUGAGACGCGAAAGAGUGGGGAGCAAACAGG
rnacentral:rRNA from 1 species